AAAGUCCUUCUUUCGAUUUAGUUUGUUGAUUCCAACCAUGGCAUUGCAAUUGCGGUUGUCGCACAUACGUCUCGAUGCAUCGGGAGCAAGCUGUGAUUUAAAGGCGAGCUAAUUCACGCCAUUGACGACAAGAUUUCUAUGAUGAAGCUUGGUACACUCGUAGUGCUGAUAAUAUUAUCCGUGGUCCUUUUUCAACCCUUUCUCAACGCACAAGCAAGCCUGCGGUUCUCAUCGGCAAAAUGCCGCUACAGGAACUUCAAACAGAAGGUUCAAAUCAGGGACAACCCACUGUGCAUCCCGAAGAAGAUCCGUCGUAGCAAAUGUGUCGGCUCGUGCAAGUCGUCCGCGUUUCCCAUCGUCAGCGCCAAGGGAAACCAGUUCAGAAAGAUCUGUAACUGUUGCACGCCUAUUGUUGAGGAGAAUGAAAUCGUUCAGUUCGAUGGAUGUGAAGACACUCUCACGCUACCGGUCAUCAAGCGCUGCGAAUGUCGGCCGUGUGGCACACGUGACGAGCUCUAGAGGCCCUGAACCCCUACCCUAGCCACACCCAUCAAGGGGGGGGGGGGUAGUGACUUCAGGCACAGGAUUUAUUAUGUAUAUAAGAAUAAGAUAUAUUUCGUUCAAAUUCCCAUAUUGUUAUCGUAGUAUAUUUUUUAGUAUAUGCUUAAUUAGGGUAGCUGGAAGGUCUUCCAAUUGUAGUCCCUACAUAGCUUCAGAGCAAAAUGGUUUGCUUGUCUACUUAAAAUCAGAAAAUAGCUCACAAUGGUCUCUACAAAACAUGUAAGACAAGUGUGCUUUCUUUUUCGUGCUUCUUGUUUGCUCUCUUUUGUAUUUCCUUUUUUGUUCAAGUUCAAAAAGCACUCCAUGCUCUUUCCAAAAGAAUGAUCUUCGAUGACGAGUAGGACUAUAUUGGAGCGGCCACAA